CCCCUCCACUUUGGCCCCAACGGUACACUGUUCCACUCCUUUAUCCAAGCUUGGUCUCCUGGAUGGUAAGAAUGGACAGGUGGAUAAAUAUUUACAGGUAACCUAUCUUGUACCCAUUUCUGUACCUCCUCCAUAGUUUUACCCAACUCUAUAACCUGCCGCUGGGUAAUUCCUUCUCCCAACUGACUCAAGUCCCCCUUAAGUUACUAAGUAUGGGAGGUGGACGCCCAUACAUAAUUUCAAAGGGUGAUAGACCUAACUUUCUGGUAGGUGUACUACGAAUGCGCAACAGAGCUAUUGGCAAAAGAGCAUUCCACUUGAGUUGGGUUUCUUGACACAUUUUUGCCAACUGGGUCUUAAUGGUUCUGUUCAUCCUUUCCACUUUCC